GUUGAAAAAUUAGCGGAUGACUUGUGGCUGGGGGUGAAAGGCCAAUCAAACCGGGAGAUAGCUGGUUCUCCCCGAAAUCUAUUUAGGUAGAGCCUUGAGCGGACACCUUCGGGGGUAGAGCACUGUUUCGGCUAGGGGUCCAUCCCGGAUUACCAACCCGAUGCAAACUACGAAUACCGAAGAGUGAUACUCAGGAGACACACGGCGGGUGCUAACGUCCGUCGUGGAGAGGGAAACAACCCAGACCGCCAGCUAAGGUCCCAAAGUCUAUAUUAAGUGGGAAACGAAGUGGGAAGGCUUAGACAGCUAGGAUGUUGGCUUAGAAGCAGCCAUCAUUUAAAGAAAGCGUAAUAGCUCACUAGUCGAGUCGGCCUGCGCGGAAGAUGUAACGGGGCUCAAAUAUAGCACCGAAGCUGCGGCAUCAGUAGCAAUACUGUUGGGUAGGGGAGCGUUCUGUAAGCGGAUGAAGAUGGCUCGAGAGGGCUGUUGGACGUAUCAGAAGUGCGAAUGCUGACAUAAGUAACGAUAAAACGGGUGAAAAACCCGUUCGCCGGAAGACCAAGGGUUCCUGUCCAACGUUAAUCGGGGCAGGGUGAGUCGGCCCCUAAGGCGAGGCUGAAAAGCGUAGUCGAUGGGAAACGGGUUAAUAUUCCCGUACUUGGAUAAACUGCGAUGUGGGGACGGAGCAGGUUAGGUUAUCGCACUGUUGGAUAUGUGCGUUUAAGUUGGUAGGUGUGAAGUUUAGGCAAAUCCGGACUUCUUUAACACUGAGAGAUGAUGACGAGGCUCUACGGAGCUGAAGUAACCGAUACCACACUUCCAGGAAAAGCCACUAAGCUUCAGGUUUAUCUAAACCGUACUGAAAACCGACACAGGUGGUCAGGUAGAGAAUACUCAGGCGCUUGAGAGAACUCGGGUGAAGGAACUAGGCAAAAUAGCACCGUAACUUCGGGAGAAGGUGCGCCGGCGUAGAUUGUAGUCCCUUGCGGGCGAAGGUUGAACCGGUCGAAGAUACCAGCUGGCUGCAACUGUUUAUUAAAAACACAGCACUCUGCAAACACGAAAGUGGACGUAUAGGGUGUGAUGCCUGCCCGGUGCUGGAAGGUUAAUUGAUGGUGUAAUCGAAAGAGAAGCUCCUGAUCGAAGCCCCAGUAAACGGCGGCCGUAACUAUAACGGUCCUAAGGUAGCGAAAUUCCUUGUCGGGUAAGUUCCGACCUGCACGAAUGGCAUAAUGAUGGCCACACUGUCUCCUCCCGAGACUCAGUGAAGUUGAAAUGUUUGUGAUGAUGCAAUCUCCCCGCGGCUAGACGGAGAGACCCCAUGAACCUUUACUGCAGCUUUGCAUUGGACUUUGAACCGAUCUGUGUAGGAUAGGCGGGAGGCAGAGAACCGAGGACGCCAGUCUUUGGGGAGCCGACGUUGAAAUACCGCCCUGAUUUGUUUGAGGUUCUAACCGCGGACAGUAAACCUGUUCCGGGACCGUGCAUGGUAGGCAGUUUGACUGGGGCGGUCUCCUCCUAAAGGGUAACGGAGGAGUACAAAGGUACGCUAGGUACGGUCGGAAAUCGUGCUGAUAGUGCAAUGGCGCAAGCGUGCUUGACUGCGAGACCGACAAGUCGAGCAGAUGCGAA
rnacentral:rRNA from 1 species